rnacentral:rRNA from 1 species
GACGAACGCUGGCGGCGUGCUUAACACAUGCAAGUCGAACGGAAAGGCCCUGCUUUUGUGGGGUGCUCGAGUGGCGAACGGGUGAGUAACACGUGAGUAACCUGCCCUUGACUUUGGGAUAACUUCAGGAAACUGGGGCUAAUACCGGAUAGGAGCUCCUGCUGCAUGGUGGGGGUUGGAAAGUUUCGGCGGUUGGGGAUGGACUCGCGGCUUAUCAGCUUGUUGGUGGGGUAGUGGCUUACCAAGGCUUUGACGGGUAGCCGGCCUGAGAGGGUGACCGGGCACAUUGGGACUGAGAUACGGCCCAGACUCCUACGGGAGGCAGCAGUGGGGAGUAUUGCACAAUGGGCGGAAGCCUGAUGCAGCAACGCCGCGUGCGGGAUGACGGCCUUCGGGUUGUAAACCGCUUUCGCCUGUGACGAAGCGUGAGUGACGGUAAUGAGUAAAGAAGCACCGGCUAACUACGUG